ACCACCUGCAAUUCAAACUAGGUCGUCCAUGCAAAUUUUGGCCUGGCCAGUACUUGGAUGGGAGACCAACUAGAAAAGCUGGGUUGCUGCUGGAU
rnacentral:rRNA from 1 species